rnacentral:rRNA from 1 species
CUACGGGCCGCAGCAGUGAGGAAUAUUGCACAAUGGGGGGAACCCUGAUGCAGCAACGCCGCGUGGAGGAUGACGCAUUUCGGUGUGUAAACUCCUUUUAUAUGUCAAGAAAAUGACGGUAGCAUAUGAAUAAGCACCGGCUAACUCCGUGCCAGCAGCCGCGGUAGUACGGAGGGUGCAAGCGUUACUCGGAAUCACUGGGCGUAAAGGACGCGUAGGCGGGUUGGAAAGUCAGGUGUGAAAUCCUACAGCUUAACUGUAGAACUGCACUUGAAACUUCUAAUCUAGAGUAUGGGAGGGGGAGAUGGAAUUAGUGGUGUAGGGGUAAAAUCCGUAGAUAUCACUAGGAAUACCUAAAGCGAAGGCGAUCUCCUGGAACAUUACUGACGCUAAGGCGUGAAAGCGUGGGGAGCAAACAGGAUUAGAUACCCUCGUAGUC